UACGAAGGGGGCUAGCGUUGUUCGGAAUUACUGGGCGUAAAGCGCACGUAGGCGGAUUGUUAAGUCAGAGGUGAAAUCCCGGAGCUCAACUUCGGAACUGCCUUUGAUACUGGCAAUCUAGAGUCCGGAAGAGGUUAGUGGAAUUCCCAGUGUAGAGGUGAAAUUCGUAGAUAUUGGGAAGAACACCGGUGGCGAAGGCGGCUCACUGGCUCAUUUCUGACGCUCAGGCGCGACAGCGUGGGGAUCAAACAGG
rnacentral:rRNA from 1 species